AUUGAACGCUGGCGGCAGGCCUAACACAUGCAAGUCGAACGGAGCGGCGGUCGGGUGAGUAAUGCUUAGGAAUCUGCAUGGGAGUGGGGGAUAACGUCAGGAAACGGGAGCUAAUACCACAUACUCUCAGCUGAGCAUAGGUCGGAUUAACUUGUUGGUGGGGUAAAGGCUGACCAAGGCGACGAUCCGUAACUGGUCUGAGAGGAUGAUCAGUCACACUGGAACUGAGACACGGUCCAGACUCCUACGGGAGGCAGCAGUGGGGAAUAUUGGACAAUGGGCGAAAGCCUGAUCCAGCCAUGCCGCGUGUGUGAAGAAGGGCUUCGGAUUGUAAAGCACUUUAAGUUGGGAGGCGUUACCAACAGAAUAAGCACCGGCUAACUUCGUGCCAGCAGCCGCGGUAAUAC
rnacentral:rRNA from 1 species